GUCAGGAUGGGGGCCGGGCCCUGGGCUGUGUUUAGACCCUGCUUUCCUGGAGGGAAUGGGGAGCUCGAGGAACCCUGGAGCUCUGCACAGCACAAGAAAUUCAUCAGAGCUUUGCACAAAUGGCAUUUCCUUGUCCUGUAACUGAUGUGGAGCUUGAUAUUUAAGUCUUGUGUGUGCAGAGAGCCACAAACUCUGCUGGUGGGGCCAUCCUGAGGAAAUCCUGCUCUGCUUUAGAGCAUCCUGAGUCCUGUCCCACUGACCGUGUCUGCCCACAGCCUGCAGGCUGCAAGAAAGUGCUGGGGAAAGCUCGGAUUAAUCAAAAAUUAACUGCAUCCACUUUGCAAUGCUGGAAAACGCUGGGGUAGUGAAUCCUUGGGCCGUUGGAUGGAGGCUGGCAGGGCACUGCUGCCUGCUGAGAUGAAGUUACCAACAGCCUCGGAACAUUGUGCCCCGGUACAACAAUGGGGAUCUGUCCCUGUUAGGUCAGGGAUGCUGAGGAUGCCCGGAGUCAUCCCCAGGGGGAGGAACCGAAGGGAGCAGCGGGAGGAGCCGCUGUUGGCCUGGCACUGAUUCACAGCCUCAUCCCGGAGGAUGAGAGGGCUGCGCUCGCCAGAAGGGAGCGGGUUAAUCACUCCCGGGAGGAAAAGCCAGAGCUGUGGGAAUUGCAGUGCCCCGCUGCCGCCGAGCACCUGCGGAGACUGAAAGGUCACAGCCGGGGAGACUUCCCAGGUAGCUCCAUCACCGAAGAGUUGCUCAAACCAGGAGUCGCAGCGAGCUGCGAGCCUGCCUGCUCAUUAAAACAGCCUUUGUGCCCCAGAAAUGCAUAUGAAAGACGCGCUCAGGCCCUGUCACUCUUACAGAUUCCUUCUCUCAUGUUCGCUCAUUCUCAGCUAAACUAAGAAAUGCCUGAAGCCGUCAAAGGGGCUGUUUCAAAGGCAGCCCGGAGACAGAAAGGGAGCGAGCCGGCGCUGGAAAGCCUCGCUAAUCAAGGCAGAGGGAUCUGCCUGCUUCCCUCCCUCCCCGAGCGCAGCCCGUGCUUCGGCUUUGAAGACCUGUCAUCUGUGACGCCGCUCCGCUUCAACAUUUAUACUGAGAUUUUUUUUUUUUUCCUGGAAUAUAUGUGGCUUUUUUUUUUUCCUCUUCUUCGUCUUUUCUUUUCUUUUUUUUUUUCAUUUUUUUCUGUUUUUUAAGCCAUUCCGCCCACCCUUCGCCUCUCAGCGCAGCUCGGGGAUGUCGGAGCAGGAGCUUUACAGAACCUUAAAUAAAAAGCAGGGGAGGUGGCCCCUGUGCCAGGACCGUCCCCACCCAGGCCAUCGGCUCUGUAAACAAAGGGAUUUUUUUUCACUGCAUGAGUGCCAAGCAGGCUGUGCCGAGCACCGGGAUCUUUAGAAAUCCGGGUCUCCUUAAGGAAAAGGAGGGACUUUUGCUCCCGGGAGCACUACAAAAAUUAAUGGCUAUUAUGACUGUAACUACUUGAAUCAAAUGCAAAGCCGCGUGUCACUCAGCCCUUUUGCGAUUCCCGCAGUUUAUUACAAGGCUGUUUACAUCUGCCCCUGCCUGAUUUAAGCCCAGCAGGAAUAAAACUAAUACCAAGUGAGGAAUCAGGAGCAGCGAUGCUCUUAGCAGGAUUUAUUCACGAGCUGACACCGGGGCCUGGGGUGGGUCACAGCCCACGGGGCACCAGGCACAUCCUAGCCCCUGGAAUUGUUCCUUUCUUGGUGUCACUGGGCAGGGCAGGGCACAUCCCAUGGCAGGGUCAGCUCGGGGCACGGAGCCUGGAGCGGGAAGCGCCCUCAGGGAUGCUCUGGGAGCGCAAACACGAUCGUGCGGCAUCUCCAGAUGCAGCCGCUCCCUGCCGGGUGCCUUCACUAAACCCAGCAAAGCCCGAGGAUGGUGUCUGAGGAGCUGACGGGGCUGUCUGCGCGAAAAGCAGAGGUGCGAAUUCUCUCCCGUUCUGCGCCGGCAGCGGCGGGGCCGGGAGCGCCCCGCGGGCACCGGGCUGUGCCCUGUGCCGGCCCUUCCUCUGCCCCUUCCCGCCCCAUUUUCCCGGCUGGAAUUCCGAGGGGUUGCGUUAACAGGAGUCCAAACCCACCCGCCUGUCAGGGAUGGGUUCGGUGCGUGUCCCGUCCGGGCUGGGACCGGUCCGCGGCUUCACCAGCCCGCCCUCCCAGCGCUGUGCUCUGAAUUACCUACAGGCACUUGUGGUCUCUGUGCCUGCUCAAUAUUUCAUAUGGAAUAUAUGAAUAUUCCAGCCAGAAACAGGACAAGAUCCCAGAGAAAGCCGAGUCCGAGCCUGUUAAUGCCAACAUUUAAGUUUGCUAAGGAUUCGCCCCGGAGCUGCUCGU